GCCUGACAUAUAAGGACGUUGCGAAUACGAGUCCGUGGUAGAAAAGGGGGAACAAACUGAUCAAUUUAUUUUUUUUUUUGUAGGAGGGGAGUGUGGAAAACAAAAGUUAACAUGACCUAUACGGACGCUUAUAACAAGCAACUGAGCCUCUCACAUAAUGGGACGUUUCGAAUACGAGUCCAUGGGAGACAAGUGGGACCACACUGGACCCCCUGGACCAAGUUGAAAUGAAAUUACGGGGUAAGAAGCAAAAACGGCAACUCCGGCCCGACAUUUGGUUUUCUAGUAAUUUAUAAUACCGGAUGAAUACGUUCGUUAAGAGAAACUAAAACUCUCCCCGAGGUUUGGUUUACUAGUACUAAGUAAUUAUACAAUACAAGGAAUAUCCCCCACAUCAUCAUCGAUUAGUAGGGACUUUAAGAACCGAAAACGCAGCGACGUGGAAAACCCCAGGACCGUCGGAGGCAUGGAGCGAGGACCGCGUCUCAAACGCGGGAAACUUGAAGUUUAGAUGCAACAGGCGACGCGCCCGCUACUUUACUUGUCAACAAAAAGCUGCUUUUCAGGUAGCUUCAAAAAAUGUCAAAAAACUCGUUUAAAGCUGUACAAGAAUCUUUGCUCUUCUCCCUGGAAGAACGAAUUAUAGACAAAGAGGAAUUUGCUGUCCUUUUCGAAGAAUACACGCCGCAAAACCUGCCUUUUCGCCACUGGGACUACGAAGAAUUUUGUCUAGAAAAUAAAGAUCCCGCUGAGUGCAAGGCCGACUUUAGAUUUGAAAAGAGAGAUAUUCCUUUGCUCGUAGAUGCUUUACAAAUGCCAGAUACGUUUACAUGUGCUAACGGCACGGUUUGUGAUGCAACAGAAGGGCUGUGUGUCGUGCUGAAGCGGUUUGCUUAUCCUUGCAGAUUGUCAGACAUGAUUUCCAUAUUCGGUAGAUCAGUGCCAGAGCUCAGCAUGAUUUGCAAUGAAGUGACUGAAUGGAUCUAUGCUCACCACCACCGUAUAACAGAGUGGAACAACUUUAUCCUGUCCCCCAAUUCAUUGCAAACAUAUGCUGAUGCAAUUCACAACAAAGGUGCAGCCUUGGAUAAUUGCUUUGGCUUGCUGUAGAUGGGACAGUUCGACCAAUAACAAGACCAGGAUUGAAUCAGAGAGUUGUUUACAACGGACACAAGCGUGUACACGCUCUCAAAUACCAGUCUGUUGCAUUGCCCAAUGGGCUCAUCGGCCAACUAUUUAGACCAGUAGAGGGAAGGAUGCAUGAUGCAAGAAUGUUGGCAGUCUCAGGAUUGUACGACAGCUUGGCACAACAUGCUUUUUCUCCAGCUGGUCAAGAAAUGUGCAUCUAUGGGGAUCCAGCAUACCCCCUACACAACCAUCUGCAAGCGCCUUUUAGAAUGGGUGUACUCAAUGGGCCAAUGCAAGACUUCAACGAAUCCAUGAGUUCAGUCAGUAUUUCAGUUGAAUGGCUUUUUGCUGACAUUAUAAACUAUUUCAAAUUUCUUGACUUCAAGAAAAAUCUCAAGAUUUGACUCAGACAUGUUGGAAAGAUGUACAUGGUCUGUGCCCUUCUGAGAAAUGGCUUAACAUGCCUUUACUCCAACACAACCUCUGAAUAUUUUGGACUUGAUCCUCCUACACUGGUUGACUAUUUCAACUAAAGAAAAUAAACAAUCAAAUUGAGUUUGUAUAAUGCAGGUAGUACAGUGACAAACUAUUUAAACAAGUGAUGGGUGGGGCAACAAAACAACACAACAAAAAUGUGCACAUCACUUUUAUAAUGGUGUAUAUGUAAUUGUUAACAGUGAAAAAUAGAAACAUUUGCUGUAAAAUAUACUAUGUUUUAUACAAAAUGUAUUUAAAGAUUUAUAAUCUUGUAUGAUAAUAAAAAUUUUAACUUUUGUUUUUAAAUAAAAAUAACAUUUUUGUGCAAAUCAAGCACAAAUAGACACUAUACUGUACAGUAGUUCCCCGCGCAUAAGAACCUGAAUUUUUCAAUUUAGCCUAAAUAGUUUUUUUUUAUAAUUCAAGGAAAUUUAAGCUACCAAGGUUUCUCAAAAUAGGUUCUUGUAUCUUGAUAUUUGACUCAGAUGAAUAAAUUAAAUUUGCAAAAAAUAUGUCUAAAUAUCACCUCAUACAAUACAGUGCAUUUAUUGUAAAACAGGUAACUAUGCUCUUGUAAAAUUAGAAAGUAAACAGUUUCUUCAUGUCAUAUAUCAAAUACUUAUUUGUUCAACAUUUUCCCCAUCACUCCUAUGAACUGUUGCAUCAUGAGCAUUUGUUGCUGCUGGAGUUGUUGCUGCUGGAGUUGUUGCUGCUGGAGUUGUUGCUGCUGGGGUUGUUGUUGUUGUUGUUGUUGCUGUACCAUAGCUUGCAUCAUUUCUGUAUUCUUUUGCUGCAAUUGUAGUUGUUGUUGUUGCAUUUCCUUUUUCAUGUUGAGCUCCUUUUCUCUAAGUUCACUGUUUUUGUCAGCUCUCUCUUUCAAAAACUCAAUUGCAUCUCCUCCCUUCCUUCUUUGUCGCUUAGGUUUUACAUCCACAUCACCCUCUCUGAAAUCUCUCUUCUUUGUCUGUGACAGUCGACCAGUACAUGAUCACAUUGCUGUGUAAAAAAAAUUGUUAUUGCAACAUGCACACCAUUAUAUCCCUGAUAGAAUGUUUUUAAACAUUAUCAUUUUAUUCAAUAUUUAAAAACAAAAAAUAUUCAAAAAAUAUUUAAAAACAUUAUCAUUUUAUUCAAUAUUUAAAAAUAUUGAAUAAAAAGCCCUACAGCGAACUUGUGUGACUUUCCAAACACAAUCAAAUAUGACUGAGAAAAAUGAAAACAAAGUUUGCAAGACAAUAAAGAUAGAUCUAAAUACAUAUUUAAGCUUUCAAUUAAUGUGGGCCAUGAUGAUAAAAUUUAGAUAAUUAAAUAAAAGCAAAAUAAAGUGUAAACUUUUUUGUCCAAUCUAUCAGUGUUGCACAUGAGUGUUGACAACAUGCUUGAACCUUUUUUUACAGAUUAUUGACAAAUUGAAUCAAGGUAAAACAACAAAAUCAGAACCCAAAACUUCAGUACAUUCACGUAUAAAUAGAAGUUAUUUUCCGAUAAAAUUAGUCUGGUAGACCCGAUAAAAAAUUUACUUUACUUAAGUUAAUUAAACUUUAAAAUAUCUUACUUAUAAAAAAGGAUGGCUUUUCAAAUGGGUAUUUUACGCUCCGUUAUGUAAUAAGCUAAACAGUAUAGCCUACGUUAAUUAGAAAUCCACGAGAAGUUAUGACAGAAGAACAUAGAAAAUACACUAUAGAUUCAAAGAUAAUGAGAUGACAUACUUUAAAGGUUUGUCCUUUGCAUCUCGCACGUUUGAUGCCAUGGUUGAACACACCUGCUAAGAAAAAAAACGUUCAUUUUUAAUCAAAAAUCGAUUCCCUUGACUUCUGUAAAACCUCUACCUCUA